CAUCAUCAUCAGCUUCCUCAAAUUCUACAUUGACGCCGCUGUCUUCUCUUUCUCUCUCUGCUUCGAACCCCCAUGGGAGCUCUCCGCAUUACAACAUGUUGUUACAUUGUUUUGCAAUUGUUGAAAUUGUCAAUUGGAGAAUCUUCAGAAGAUCCAAUAUAUUACGUUUUAAUGCGAUGCCCUAACAAUGUCCAAGUCUGGAAUAGUGGAAAGUCUCUUGUCAUGGGCAGAUUCUGGAAUAGUGGUAUGUUUUUAUUCUUUUAUUGCAUUUUUAUGCAUUAAUAAGAAGUUUAAAGUAGCACUUAAUGAUUUUUUCUGCAUUUUGACUCUAGACCUUGGGUAUUUCAAUUCCAGAAUUUCUAUACAUAAAUAUCUAUAAAUUUUCUGAAACUAAGGUGACUCAUGUGUGGGCAUGUGUGCAUCCAUCUAUUCAUUCCUGCAGUAAUCUUUCCUAUUCAUUUUUUGAUAUGUACAGGUAAAGCAUAGUAGAACAUCAUCCCCAUCUUCUUAUGAGAAGGAUUUUUGUGAAUUGGUAGAUAUAUAUACCAGAAAG